GACAAACAGGGUGAGAAACCCUGUCGCCGAAAGUCCAAGGGUUCCUGCUUAAAGCUAAUCUGAGCAGGGUAAGCCGGCCCCUAAGGCGAGGCCGAAAGGCGUAGUCGAUGGGAACCAGGUUAAUAUUCCUGGGCCAGUGGGAUGUGACGGAUCGCAGAUGUAGUUUGCCCUUAUCGGAUUGGGUGGGCUGCUGAGCGGUUCCAGGAAAUAGCCCCACAUCAGACCGUACCCUAAACCGACACAGGUGGACUGGUAGAGUAUACCAAGGCGCUUGAGAGAACCACGUUAAAGGAACUCGGCAAAAUGCCUCCGUAAGUUCGCGAGAAGGAGGCCCCAUAUGUACGCAAGUAUGUGUGGGGGGCACAAACUAGGGGGUGGCGACUGUUUACUUAAAACACAGGGCUGUGCGAAGCCGUAAGGCGACGUAUACAGUCUGACGCCUGCCCGGUGCUGGAAGAUUAAGAGGAGGGGUGCAAGCUCUGAAUUGAAGUCCCAGUAAACGGCGGCCGUAACUAUAACGGUCCUAAGGUAGCGAAAUUCCUUGUCGGGUAAGUUCCGACCUGCACGAAUGGCGUAACGAUCUCCCCGCUGUCUCUAACGUGGACUCAGCGAAAUUGAACUGUGUGUCAAGAUGCACACUACCCGCGGUUAGACGGAAAGACCCCAUGAACCUUUACUCCAGCUUUGCACUGGUAUCAGGAUUGUGAUGUGCAGGAUAGGUGGUAGGCAUUGAAGCGGGGACGCCAGUCUUCGUGGAGCCUCCCUUGAGAUACCACCCUUCGCCAUCUUGAUAUCUAACCGCGGCCCGUUAUCCGGGUCCGGGACCCUGCAUGGUGGGGAGUUUGACUGGGGCGGUCGCCUCCCAAACAGUAACGGAGGCGCGCGAUGGUUGGCUCAGACCGGUCGGAAAUCGGUCGUUGAGUGCAAUGGCAGAAGCCAGCCUGGCUGCAAGACUACAAGUCGAGCAGAGACGAAAGUCGGUCAUAGUGAUCCGGUGGUCCCAAGUGGGAGGGCCAUCGCUCAACGGAUAAAAGGUACUCUGGGGAUAACAGGCUGAUGAUGCCCAAGAGUCCAUAUCGACGGCAUCGUUUGGCACCUCGAUGUCGGCUCAUCUCAUCCUGGGGCUGGAGCAGGUCCCAAGGGUAUGGCUGUUCGCCAUUUAAAGAGGUACGUGAGCUGGGUUUAGAACGUCGUGAGACAGUUCGGUCCCUAUCUGCCGUGGGUGCAGGAGACUUGAGAAGAGUUGACCCUAGUACGAGAGGACCGGGUUGAACGAACCACUGGUGGACCAGUUAUCGUGCCAACGGUAGUGCUGGGUAGCUAUGUUCGGACAGGAUAACCGCUGAAGGCAUCUAAGCGGGAAGCCCCCUUCAAAACAAGGUCUCCCUUGAGGGCCGUGGAAGACGACCACGUCGAUAGGCCAGAGGUGUAAGUGCAGCAAUGCAUUCAGCUGACUGGUACUAAUUGCUCAA
rnacentral:rRNA from 1 species